CGCGCGAUACAGGGUGACAGCCCCGUACACAAAAAUGCACAUGCUGUGAGCUCGAUGAGUAGGGCGGGACACGUGGUAUCCUGUCUGAAUAUGGGGGGACCAUCCUCCAAGGCUAAAUACUCCUGACUGACCGAUAGUGAACCAGUACCGUGAGGGAAAGGCGAAAAGAACCCCGGCGAGGGGAGUGAAAAAGAACCUGAAACCGUGUACGUACAAGCAGUGGGAGCCUCUUUUAUGGGGUGACUGCGUACCUUUUGUAUAAUGGGUCAGCGACUUAUAUUCUGUAGCAAGGUUAACCGAAUAGGGGAGCCGAAGGGAAACCGAGUCUUAACUGGGCGUUAAGUUGCAGGGUAUAGACCCGAAACCCGGUGAUCUAGCCAUGGGCAGGUUGAAGGUUGGGUAACACUAACUGGAGGACCGAACCGACUAAUGUUGAAAAAUUAGCGGAUGACUUGUGGCUGGGGGUGAAAGGCCAAUCAAACCGGGAGAUAGCUGGUUCUCCCCGAAAGCUAUUUAGGUAGCGCCUCGUGAAUUCAUCUCCGGGGGUAGAGCACUGUUUCGGCAAGGGGGUCAUCCCGACUUACCAACCCGAUGCAAACUGCGAAUACCGGAGAAUGUUAUCACGGGAGACACACGGCGGGUGCUAACGUCCGUCGUGAAGAGGGAAACAACCCAGACCGCCAGCUAAGGUCCCAAAGUCAUGGUUAAGUGGGAAACGAUGUGGGAAGGCCCAGACAGCCAGGAUGUUGGCUUAGAAGCAGCCAUCAUUUAAAGAAAGCGUAAUAGCUCACUGGUCGAGUCGGCCUGCGCGGAAGAUGUAACGGGGCUAAACCAUG
rnacentral:rRNA from 1 species